GUGACUUUUGGAACCCCUAUGUACCCUAGUUUGGUUAGAUGUUAUUUCCCUAAAGUUUGAAUGGUUUUGGGAUGUUUUUGGGUGAAAAAAGUUCAUGGAAAAAUUUUGGGUUUUUCAUGAAUGUUCUUCAUUGUUCUUGACAUUUUUGCCAAGAACAAAAAGUUUGGUGUUUUGAUUCAAAGUUUUGAUUAAUUUCAUAAAGUCUUUGUUUUGUGUUGAUUGGUGUGAAAUAUCUAUCAUCAAAACAUUUAUAUUUUUGACAGGUGAUAGAAAUUGUGAUGGGUGUGUAAGACCUACACACCUUACACACCUUACACACCACAUGCAUGGUUUUAUGAUUUACACCAACCAAAAACCACUUGCAAGGCAUUAUGAAAUUGUUGAAAAAAAUUUCCAAAUUUUUGUGGACUUAUCUCCACUCCCUUUCCCUCUCUAAAAACCGGCCACCCUAUUAUUAGGGUUCUUUUGGGUCUUUUAUGAUAUUACAUAAAGUUUUGAUACUUUUGUGUAUUUGCACUUUGGCCCAAAAGUUUACGUUUUUACGUUUAGGUCCAAAAACGCUAAAUGACAAAUUGUUUUGCUCCUUUAAUGAAGUUUUUGCAUUGAUUAAAU
rnacentral:lncRNA from 1 species